rnacentral:rRNA from 1 species
CCUACGGGAGGCAGCAGUGAGGAAUAUUGGUCAAUGGACGAGAGUCUGAACCAGCCAAGUAGCGUGAAGGAUGACUGCCCUAUGGGUUGUAAACUUCUUUUAUAUGGGAAUAAAACGUUCCACGUGUGGGAUUUUGUAUGUACCAUAUGAAUAAGGAUCGGCUAACUCCGUGCCAGCAGCCGCGGUAAUACGGAGGAUCCGAGCGUUAUCCGGAUUUAUUGGGUUUAAAGGGAGCGUAGGUGGAUUGUUAAGUCAGUUGUGAAAGUUUGCGGCUCAACCGUAAAAUUGCAGUUGAAACUGGCAGUCUUGAGUACAGUAGAGGUGGGCGGAAUUCGUGGUGUAGCGGUGAAAUGCUUAGAUAUCACGAAGAACUCCGAUUGCGAAGGCAGUUCACUGGACUGCAACUGACACUGAGGCUCGAAAGUGUGGGUAUCAAACAGGAUUAGAGACCCGAGUAGUC